rnacentral:lncRNA from 1 species
CAAAUAUCAUCACAAUGGGGAUUAGGCUUCAGAAUUCACAUAGGAAUCUUGGUGGGACAUAAACAUUCAGUAUAAAGCAACUGAUGAGAAGAAUUAUUGAUUCUUUUACAAUUAUUGAUUCAUUUGGGCUUCCCAAGUGGCGCCAAUGAUGAGAAAACUGAGGUGCUGGAAAGUAAAGACCUGAGCUCCAGGUCACGUAGCCAACAGGUGGUAAAGUGCACAUGCAAGCCAGCUGCCUCUUAAGCAUUAACCUUUGUGACUCAGGGAAAAAGUCCCGCUUCAGUAGCACACUUCUCUGUCUACUAAAGGACACUGUCAAAGCAAGGAACACGACCACCAAAGUGAUACUACUGGGGAGGGUGUCCUGCCCUCUGUAA